AUCAUGCGUGGUUGAUGCCCUCGUCAGCUCGAGAGUGCGUGAGUGGUGCCGGCCUCGCUGGCGACCGCGAUGCGUAUCCAACCCGCAUGGUUAUAAAUAGCUGCCAAGAGCGCUCGUUUUCAUUAGAUCAGAAGGAAGCUAAGCUUGCAAGCUAGUCUAGCAGUUACAGACAGAGCAGCGCAUAUACGAGUGAUAAAUCAAUCAGCUGUGAGCUGAGUGAGCUGUGAAGUGUGUUGAACAUCGAUCAACCGAAGAUGGCAUCUCUGGGAGCUGCCGGUAGCACGGCGUGGCGGGCGCCGGCGCCGGUGAGGCAGCUGUUCUGGAGGAUGAGGUCCAGCUGGAAGAACGUCGUGAUGCGUCGACCGAGGUGCGGCGCCCCGAGGUUCGGCUACGACCUACAGAGCUAUUCCCGGAACUUCGAUGACGGCCACCUCGGCUCGGCUGCCUAGCUAGUGACUAUCGAUCGCUCUAGCUAGUCCCGUGUAAAUAAUUUUAAUUUUCUUUCCGUCGACCCGGCCAUGGCUUCAGAAGUUGGGGAGCUCGAAGCGUCCCCACCACUUUCCAAUUUGCUCGUCUAGUCUAGCUAGCUGAUGGCCUGAUGCCUAUCCAUGAGUAUUAUACAUGGUUGUGCAGCUUGCUCGUUGUUCAGUAAAUGUUAUAAGUAUUGACAAGUCGAUCCGCUAGUUGAAAGUUACUAGAAUGGAA